rnacentral:rRNA from 1 species
GUGAGGAAUAUUGGGCAAUGGGCGCAAGCCUGACCCAGCAACGCCGCGUGAAGGAAGACGGUCUUCGGAUUGUAAACUUCUUUUGUCAGGGACGAAUAAUGACGGUACCUGGCGAAUAAGCCACGGCUAACUACGUGCCAGCAGCCGCGGUAAUACGUAGGUGGCAAGCGUUGUCCGGAUUUAUUGGGUGUAAAGGGCGUGUAGGCGGGACAGCAAGUCAGAUGUGAAAACCAGAGGCUCAACAUCUGGCCUGCAUUUGAAACUGUUGUUCUUGAGUGUCGGAGAGGUAAUCGGAAUUCCGUGUGUAGCGGUGAAAUGCGUAGAUAUACGGAGGAACACCAGUGGCGAAGGCGGAUUACUGGACGAUAACUGACGCUGAGGCGCGAAAGCGUGGGGAGCAAACAGGAUUAGAAACCCGGGUAGUCC